AGUGAGCGCUGGCGGUAGGCCUAACACAUGCAAGUCGAACGGCAGCACAGUAAGAGCUUGCUCUUACGGGUGGCGAGUGGCGGACGGGUGAGGAAUACAUCGGAAUCUACUUUUUCGUGGGGGAUAACGUAGGGAAACUUACGCUAAUACCGCAUACGACCUACGGGUGAAAGCAGGGGAUCUUCGGACCUUGCGCGAUUGAAUGAGCCGAUGUCGGAUUAGCUAGUUGGCGGGGUAAAGGCCCACCAAGGCGACGAUCCGUAGCUGGUCUGAGAGGAUGAUCAGCCACACUGGAACUGAGACACGGUCCAGACUCCUACGGGAGGCAGCAGUGGGGAAUAUUGGACAAUGGGCGCAAGCCUGAUCCAGCCAUACCGCGUGGGUGAAGAAGGCCUUCGGGUUGUAAAGCCCUUUUGUUGGGAAAGAAAAGCAGCAGGUUAAUACCCCGCUGUUCUGACGGUACCCAAAGAAUAAGCACCGGCCAACUUCGUG
rnacentral:rRNA from 1 species